AUUGAACGCUGGCGGCAUGCUUUACACAUGCAAGUCGAACGGCAGCGCGGGCUUCGGCCUGGCGGCGAGUGGCGAACGGGUGAGUAAUACAUCGGAACGUGCCCAGUAGUGGGGGAUAGCUCGGCGAAAGCCGGAUUAAUACCGCAUACGACCUGAGGGUGAAAGCGGGGGAUCUUCGGACCUCGCGCUAUUGGAGCGGCCGAUGGCAGAUUAGCUAGUUGGUGGGGUAAAGGCCUACCAAGGCGACGAUCUGUAGCUGGUCUGAGAGGACGACCAGCCAGGCGGGGAUGUGGACUGGGCCAAGAAGACUGAGGUACGCCUCAGCGGGGAAUGGUGGGCAGUGGAGGAAAGCCUGAUCCUGUAAGACGACGUGUGGGACGAAGGCAAAGGGUUUGGAAAAGACUCUUUGGGGGAGCAAAAACCACUGGACUAAGACCACGGUUCGGUGAGGGUAACCGCUGAAGAAGCACCGGCUAACUACGUG
rnacentral:rRNA from 1 species